rnacentral:rRNA from 1 species
AGUGAACGCUGGCGGUAGGCCUAACACAUGCAAGUCGAACGGCAGCACAGUAAGAGCUUGCUCUUACGGGUGGCGAGUGGCGGACGGGUGAGGAAUACAUCGGAAUCUACUUUUUCGUGGGGGAUAACGUAGGGAAACUUACGCUAAUACCGCAUACGACCUACGGGUGAAAGUAGGGGAUCUUCGGACCUUGCGCGAUUGAAUGAGCCGAUGUCGGAUUAGCUAGUUGGCGGGGUAAAGGCCCACCAAGGCGACGAUCCGUAGCUGGUCUGAGAGGAUGAUCAGCCACACUGGAACUGAGACACGGUCCAGACUCCUACGGGAGGCAGCAGUGGGGAAUAUUGGACAAUGGGCGCAAGCCUGAUCCAGACAUACCGCGUGGGUGAAGAAGGCCUUCGGGUUGUAAAGCCCUUUUGUUGGGAAAGAAAAGCAGCAGGUUAAUACCCCGCUGUUCUGACGGUACCCAAAGAAUAAGCACCGGCUAACUUCGUG